rnacentral:rRNA from 1 species
GAGUAAAGUGGCGGACGGGUGAGUAACGCGUGGGAAUCUGCCUAGUAGUGGGGGAUAACAAUCGGAAACGGUUGCUAAUACCGCAUGUUGAGCCGACGUCAAUGUCGUCUCCAAAGCAGAAAUGCGCUAUGGGCGGGGCCUGCGUUCGAUUAGCUAGUUGGUGGGGUAAUGGCUCACCAAGGCGACGAUCGAUAGGUGGUCUGAGAGGACGAUCACCCAGACUGGGACUGAGACACGGCCCAGACUCC